AUUGAACGCUGGCGGAAUGCUUUACACAUGCAAGUCGAACGGUAGAGGGGGCAACCCCUCGAGAGUGGCGAACGGGUGAGUAAUAUAUCGGAACGUGCCCAGUCGUGGGGGAUAACGUAGCGAAAGUUACGCUAAUACCGCAUACGAUCUAAGGAUGAAAGCGGGGGAUCGCAAGACCUCGCGCGAUUGGAGCGGCCGAUAUCAGAUUAGGUAGUUGGUGGGGUAAAGGCUCACCAAGCCAACGAUCUGUAGCUGGUCCGAGAGGACGACCAGCAGCACGGGGACUGAGGCGCGGUCGCGGCUCUUGCGGGAGGGAGGGGUGGGGAAUUUUGGACAAGGGACGCAAGUCUGAUCCGGCCAUUCCGCGUGCAGGAUGAAGGCCCGCGGGUUGUAAACUGCGUUUGUACGGAACGAAAAGGUCUCUCUUUAUACGGGGGACUCAUGACGGUACCGUAAGAAUAAGCACCGGCUAACUACGUGCCAGCCGCCGCCGUAACAC
rnacentral:rRNA from 1 species